GAUGAACGCUGGCGGCGUGCCUAAUACAUGCAAGUCGAGCGAACGGACGAGAAGCUUGCUUUUCUGAUGUUAGCGGCGGACGGGUGAGUAACACGUGGAUAACCUACCUAUAAGACUGGGAUAACUUCGGGAAACCGGAGCUAAUACCGGAUAAUAUUUUGAACCGCAUGGUUCAAAAGUGAAAGGCGGUCUUGCUGUCACUUAUAGAUGGAUCCGCGCUGCAUUAGCUAGUUGGUAAGGUAACGGCUUACCAAGGCAACGAUGCAUAGCCGACCUGAGAGGGUGAUCGGCCACACUGGAACUGAGACACGGUCCAGGCUCCUACGGGAGGCAGCAGUAGGGAAUCUUCCGCAAUGGGCGAAAGCCUGACGGAGCAACGCCGCGUGAGUGAUGAAGGUCUUCGGAUCGUAAAACUCUGUUAUUAGGGAAGAACAUAUGUGUAAGUAACUGUGCACAUCUUGACGGUACCUAAUCAGAAAGCCACGGCUAACUACGUG
rnacentral:rRNA from 1 species